rnacentral:rRNA from 1 species
GCAUAUCAAUAAGCGGAGGAAAAAGAAAAUAACAAUGAUUCCCUUAGUAACGGCGAGUGAAGGGGGGAAAAGCUCAAAUUUUUAAAUCGGCGCAGGGUUCACCUGGUCGAGUUGUAAUUUGAAGAGGCGUUUUCCGCGUCCGGGUCGACCCAAAUCCUUUGGGAUAAGGUAUCAUGGAGGGUGAGAAUCCCGUCCGGUUGACCUCAGGAUGCUUUACGUUACCGCACUCUAAGAGUCGAGUUGUUUGGGAUUGCAGCUCAAAAUGGGAGGUAAAUUUCUCCUAAGGCUAAAUACCGGCGAGAGACCGAUAGCGAACAAGUACCGUGAGGGAAAGAUGAAAAGAACUUUGAAAAGAGAGUUAAACAGUACGUGAAAUUGUUGAAAGGGAAACGAUUGAAGCCAGUCGUACUGACGGGAAAUCAACUUUUUGAGUGCUUGUCGUGAAUGACGUUGAGCUUCACGGCCUUCGUUGCUUGCGUUAUGGUGCUUUUGAGGUGUACUUUUCCGUAUGGUAAGUCAACAUCGAUUUUGAUCGUCAUAAAAUGAUCGGAGGAAUGUGGCUCUGAUCUUGUAUCGGAGUGUUAUAGCCUUUGAUAGAUGUGACGAUUGGGACGAGGAUUGCAACGAAUACCCUUUGGGCUACCGUCUGACCUCUGAAAGUCGCUCGGGUGUCGAAAGCGUGCUUAGACAUCUAGUUGGCGGUCAAAGGUUGAAGCGGUUACAUCGUUAAGAAGUUGACGUAAUGGCUUUAAACGAC